GCAGAUAAAGCGCUAUCGGCGGCUCGAGCGUAAGCCUCUUGGAACAGAGCGUGUGCCCAGGUGAGAAUCCUGUGUUUCGCUUGAUGUCCGCCGUAUACGGCGCUUGCUCUCAGAGUCACGCUCCUCGGAAUUGGAGCGUAAAUCAGGUGGUAGAUUUCAUCUAAAGCCAAAUACAGGCUCGAGACCGAUAGCGAACAAGUACCAUGAGGGAAAGAUGAAAAGGACUUUGGAAAGAGAGUUAAAAGUGCUUGAAAUCGCUGAAAGGGAAGCGAAUGGAACCACAUUCAUGGCUGAGAUUGCUGUAAGUGCUUGUGAAUGCUAGUUGCUCUGGCUGGGUGUGAGCAUGUACUUGCAGUGUUUCUUAGCUUGCGCGUCACUUGCCACAUACGUGUGAGGAUGGCCUUUUGCA
rnacentral:rRNA from 2 species